AGCAGCCGCGGUAAUUCCAGCUCCAAUAGCGUAUAUUAAAGUUGUUGCAGUUAAAAGCUCGUAGUUGAACUUCGGGGUUCACCCAUUGGUCAGGCUUAACUGUCUGUACUGGUGAGAUGAAUCUCUACCUUCUGAGGAACUUUCAUGCCAUUUAUUUGGUGUGAUGGGAAAUCAGGACUGUUACUUUGAAAAAUUAGAGUGUUUAAAGCAGGCUAACGUCUGAAUACAUUAGCAUGGAAUAAUGAAAUAGGACGGACUGGUUCUAUUUUGUUGGUUUCUAGGAUCACCGUAAUGAUUAAUAGGGAUAGUUGGGGGCAUUAGUAUUCAAUUGUCAGAGGUGAAAUUCUUGGAUUUAUGAAGACUGACUUACUGCGA
rnacentral:rRNA from 1 species